rnacentral:rRNA from 1 species
UACGAAGGGGGCUAGCGUUACUCGGAUUGACUGGGCGUAAAGGGCGCGUAGGCGGACUUUUAAGUCAGAGGUGAAAUCCCAAGGCUCAACCUUGGAGCUGCCUUUGAUACUGGAAGUCUUGAGUAUGGUAGAGGUUGGUGGAACUGCGAGUGUAGAGGUGAAAUUCGUAGAUAUUCGCAAGAACACCAGUGGCGAAGGCGGCCAACUGGACCAUUACUGACGCUGAGGUGCGAAAGCGUGGGGAGCAAACAGG